rnacentral:ncRNA from 1 species
UAAAUUCUUGGUGAUGGAGUUCACCAACAACCGUUCUGCCGGUCGAACCAUGACGCAGGACUGAUAACUCCUACCAGAGG